UUCAGCCCAAGUCUAGGGAAUUACUGAUUUGAUAAGGCGCCCUGGAGGGUGGAGGUAGCCUCAGGCAGGAAGGCCGCGGGUCAGUCAGUCAGUCACCUGUGAGCAGCGGUGCAAGGUGACGGUCCUGUGCCUUGACCAGUGUUCACAACUCCCGGUUUUCUUUCCGUGGAUGUAUCAAGAUGAAGCCACUCUUAAUAUUAGGAAUGUUAGCAGCGGCGGGGGGCGUCUGCAAGGCGGCGGGGAACACAUCCUGUAACCCCGGCUGGGAGCUGUGUCCCAUCACCCAGCACUGCGUCCAUAAGCAGUGCAUGCAGCUCGUUUACCAAGAGCCGCCGGGGUACGAGUGCAAGGCCGGCUUCGUGUACUGCGAGGCCCUGGCGGCGUGCGUGGAGCCGUGCCGUACCCCGCCCGCCGACACAUGUAGCCGACCAGCGCCCCUCACGCCGGUCUGCCCCACGGGACACGUCUGCUGCCAGAAGGACGCUACCACCAAGACCUGCACCACGCCGGAGGACUGCCAGAGGUCAGCCGGGCUCAAUUUACCGUCCCCGACCUGUCCUGAGAGCUACGUAUUCUGCGUGGCCAUGGGCGGCUGUGUCCUCGGCGGCUGCCCUGAGGCUGCUCCUGCUGGCGGCGCUCACUGCGACCUGGACAAGGUGUAUUGUCCUUCUGUGGGGCGCUGCGUGGAGAAAAACGAGUGCGAUGGCGUGGAUGUUGAGGGCCGGUUCACCUGCCCGCCGGGAAAGCCCUUCUGCGUGGCCACGGGGAGGUGUGAGGACACGUGGGCAUGCGGGGUGCCUCUGGGGGACAAUGGGGGAGGGGAGAUCUGCCCCCCACACAAGCCUGUGUUCUGCCUGGCCAGCCGCACAUGUGAGGUGGAGGGAGGCUGCCGAGGCCGCCCUCCAGAGACCAUGGCAAGCAUCUGUCCCAGAGGGUACAUCUAUUGUGCCCAGAGAGGAGAGUGUGUGGCCAGAAGCAGGGGCUGUACGGAGCCAGUGGUUAGGCAGCAGUUUUUAUCAUGUCCUCACGGCACCACCUUCUCCAUCCCACGUGGUAUUUGUGUCCCAGAACCAGAGAACGGCAGGCUUCUUGAUGAAGAGAGAAAAUCCUGUCCUCCUGGAACUGUUCUCUCCCUCUCUAAUGGUGUGUGUGUUCCUGAUCCAGCAAAGGAAAAGAAGAGGUUGACCUGCCCCCCAGGCACAGUGUAUCAUCUCACUGAAGGCACCUGUGUCCCAGACCCUGUCAUGUAUGAUGAUGUUCCUAGUUGGGCCUGCCCCAUGAUGAAUGAGUCUCGCAAGGGCAGCUUUACUUACUCCACUUGUAUCACAAGUGAACAGUGUUCUACUGGCUUGUCAUGCUGCCCAGACCCAGAAACAUGGCACUUCCAGUGUGUGAACAUGAAUGGAGAACAAGAUGCUGGUGCUCUUAAUAAAACUUGCCAGCAGCUUGAAAAACCCAAGUAUGACACAACCGUAAGAUGUAACAGUCCAGAGGAAUGUCCUCAAGCCUCUGUCUGUUGUGGAGGGAAAUGCAGAUCUCAUGAUGGUGUUACAACUUGUCCCAUUGGCACACUGUUCUGUUCAGCCACCAGUGCUUGUGUGCGGAUUGGGAAGCCAUGUGGUAAAGCAUGUCCCCCCAAGAAUGUCUUCUGCUUGACCUCGCAAAACUGUGGCACUCAAAAUUCCUGUGGAGAUGGCAAUUAUACAAGUGGAGCCCCAUGGAUGAUGCCAGACAUCAAGUGGGUAUCAGAAUUCAGCAACAACAGUCACACAUGGAGGGAGGUGUUGCUUUCGGAGACCUACAAGAGUGCAUCCACUGGGUCACAGGACAGAUCUCUUGUGAUCUUUACUGUGACAAACCUCACAACUGCAUAUGGAAUGUGGUUUUACCGGGGGCAACAAAGUUCUCCAUGGAUGCCUAUUGAACCUGUCUCUGAGAUUACUCCAGCACAUUAUGUUCAGUACCGGCCACUUCCCAACCUUUAUGAGUUUGGGCUUGACUAUAUCAACAUGACUGAGGCAGGCACGGAAAUCAAGAGAACAGUGGUGCAGCUUUUGGCUCCAGAGUCACCCAGCAUUCAGGUAGAAAGAGUAGUUUCUACAGUAACCACUGAAGAAGAUGUUCCCAAGCAGUUUUCAUUAUGGAGCAUUGUUAAUGUGACUUGCAAUGACACCCAGUACUGGAAGGUGUGGAUGCAAGCAGCAGAUUUCCCCAAGCAAGCUGUGAAAGGCAAUCUUCUGCAGCUUGAUUCUGAGAGUGUAAUGUUAUGGGUGACCUUACUCCAAAGUCCAGGCCUCCAAGAUAGCAUUGGAGAAGAUGGAGUCAUGGGGAGAGGUCUGACUCUGGAAUGGGUAAAAAGGCUUGACUCGAAAGAUGAGAGGUUGGCUGACCUCUUUAUCUCUCUCAACGAAGGCAAAGAGUGGUUCCGAAUGAAUCCCAUCAGGCCACUGAAGUUACCAGUUGUAUCUUGUGAUAAGAUGCCAGAUGUUUUAGUAAAAGUGCAACCAACCCCCAAUGCCUAUGGCACCGCUAUCCUUCGGCCUUCUGUGUACCCUUCCACAUCACCGAAGAUGAUGAAUGAAACAGGUUCAACUACAAAUGAGGACAUAAGUGAUAUUGUUUUGCAGGUGACAGGUGUGAAUGAUUUACCUGUUGCAAGAACUUACCCAGAACAAUGCAAGGUGGCAUCUCUCAGGGUAGGCCAGCCCAAUACUGGAGUGCCUGUGGAAAUGUAUGCUGAGGCUUUCUUUCAAGACCCAGAGAACAAUGUACUGGGUAUCAUUAUCCUGCAAGCAUUUAGUAGCCCGGAUGGUGACAAGUGGCAGUACUCCAUUGAUAGCGGCAAGACCUUUGUUGAUGUAAAUGGUCUGCAGAAAGACCCUUUUUCUGUUCCACUCUCAGUGCGUGGUACUCAACAAGGUCCAGUCCGCUGGAGGAAAGAGAUGGAGAAAGUAAAGUGUAAUUUCAGAAACCUGAUCGACAAUCUGGAUAAGGUGUCAUCAGGGAAUGAAAAUAGCUCAUGUUUAAAAAAAACAAAAAGGAGAAUGGGAAAUAAACAGGCUGUGGCAAGAAGCAGAAACAUUAGCACAAGAAUUGACCAACCAGCAAUAGAAACAGCAGGUGUAGCUCAGUUUGAAUAUGGCACAGGAAACAUCAGCUUAACAGGAAAUGAUAUAAAGGUUGAAGCCUUAUAUUUGCCUCCAACAACUUUGCUGAGAUAUGAGACCUCACGCCCUCCCUGGACCAAAGAGGCAGCUUUCAGGGACACACGGCUGGUGUUUGUAGUCUUGGACACCAACUCCAGUAACUCUUAUUCUGAAGUUCAGUGGAUGAACAUCAGUCUAAAGGAAGACUUAGGAAAAAAUGGUAUUGGGAAAGAGCCUGUAGCAACGGCCAUGACAUGGCAGGACUGCACAGGCCAAUGCCUUGAGAUGCUGCCACCUCAGGUGAUGGAUGCCUGUGGUCAGUGUGGAGGAGACAACACAACAUGCACCGACUGUGCAGGUGUCCUCAAUGGAAGUGCAACCAUAGUGUGUGGGGAGUGUGUGGGAGGCACCACAAACAAGGUUGGUGAAAUGGACUGUGCUGGACAGUGUGAGAUGCAGAAUCACAUUGUUAAUAUCAAUGGCGAAGAAGUGUGCCAAGCAAAAAAUGCCACAUUUUGUGAUGGAUCCUUGACCUCUGGUGCUUACUUCAAUAGGUGUGGAGUGUGUGUUGGGGGCACUACAGGGCUGGAGGAGAGUGAGGGAUUGGACAACUGUGGAGUAUGUUAUGGAGAUAAUAAUUGCAUUGGCUGUGAUAAUGCUCCUAACUCUGGAAAAGUUUUGGAUAGAUGUGGGCUUUGUUUGAAGCCUGUUAGUCCUCUUUUUGAUAAUUGUUUGACCUUGAUGUCAGUCACGGAUGUGUUAGAUGCUGCUGUUAAUGAUAUUCCUGACAUCAGUUUGAGGUCGUCACCUGCUAAUGGCAAGCAGGACAUGCUGAGGAGGCAAUUGCAUCCUCUCCUAACUGUGAAGGCCCAGGUGACAGGGCUCACUGCCAAGAAGUACACGGUGGAGUGCUGGCUGGAGGUUGACCGUGAACAGACAUCUAAUGCUACCCAUGUGCAAUAUUCAAAUGGUCAGCUGAAAGCAACUUUCCAGUUUCUAGUUUCUGGUAUUCAGUCACUUAAGUGCACCUUCAUACCAGAAAAGAAGAAAAGAUCAUCAGGUAUGACACUGGAGUCUCUGACGAUGGUUGAGGUGGUGGACUCUCGCUCUGCUCUGGUGGAGACUGAUACUUCCCUUGUAGAAACUAGCUCAGACAGACGGGUCACCCUGAGCGUGAAAAAUGCUCCAACCCUUGACUCUGCCACGUGUGUUCUUCUCUACCAAGACACAGCAUCUGAUGCCUCCAAUGCAGCUGAUGAGGGGAAUGAAAGAACUGUUGUGACUGCACUGGACACCAAAGUAAUAUCUGAUGACCAAGUUUCUUGCACCAUCACCAAGUUCACCAGGCCAGGAGAAGCACAGAUUGGAGUUGUUCUUACUGCUGCAGCACUCAAGGCAAUGUACCUGGCACCCAUAAAUUUGCAAACGAAGCCUAUCACCAUCAUGUCUCCAGCACCUGAGGUUGUGUCUGCUGUCCUGAACCGUUUUGGAGAUAUCUUGCUUAUCAAAUUUGAUCAAAAGGUUGAAUUUGAAGCUAAUUGCUCCAACAUAAUUUCAUGGCCAUGGAAAAGCAAUGAUGCAGACCGGGAGGCCCCAACCUGUCAGGUCUUGGGAGACAAAGUGAAGAUUAGAUUGAGUCCAGACAUCAACCUGGAAGCAAACACUUCUCUCACUUUUGUUACUCCUGGGAGCAUCAGGAGUGUCAAUGGAAAUCCUUCGAAUGCUCCUUCAGCUUCAGGAAGCUUUAUGGUCCUUCAACCCAAAGCACAGAAUGAAGUAACAUUUCAUCUGACCGGUGACACAAGGGCUUGCAAUGCUUCUGAGGUCACAGUCAGUGUCACUCAGAUCAGAGGAGCAAGAAUCCAGGAUCUACAGCCUGUGUGGAACAUUACAUGGGAACCUACUCCAAAAUCUCAAGCUGAAACAAACCUUGUAUGGCAGAGUCUUACCAAUUUGAGAGAUGCUAUGAAACAAGAAUCUCGAGGCCGAAAGUUUUCUCUAACUCUUCCAGGGAAUGAAUUCCUUGAGGGAGUGGAGUACAUGAUUGUUGUACAUUUGGUGCAAGACAAUGAAGAGGUCACCAAUGCCAAGAGCCUGACAGUGACCACCCUGCCUGCAGACCAACCACUCAGGGUUACUGUGAUUGGGCCCAGUAUGGUCAUGGCUGACCAGCCCAACAGUUUUCAAGCAAAAGUUACUUCAUGUCUGGACACCAUAGGGAAGAGUGACACUGGAUACAAGUUCACAUGGAGAGUGUUGGGUAGCAGUGCCUUAACUAUCUUCCAAGGGAGGAGGAUAACUAUACCACCCAAUGUGUUGAGAGUUAACCAAAAUCAGACUCUUGUAGUCAAUGUCAUGGCACCAGACCUACAAGUUCCAGGAACGGGUAACUUGGAUCUGUCAGUGAUUCCCCAAGGCAUCAGUGCUGUCAUGUCAUCCAGCUCUCUAAGGGUGUGUGCCAACACAGCCAUCACCAUUGAUGCCUCCAACUCCAAAGACAGAGACAAUCGUCCCGGACCUCUUUCCUAUAGAUGGAGAUGUUCCAUAAACAUGAACAAACCCUGCAUUGUAAUGGGAAACCCCCAGAAGAGUCUGGAAGGUGCCUUACCCGAGGAAGAGAUGAGUCGCCCGACACUAAGAAUUCCUGCUGGAUACUUACCCCCUGGCAGUUACAACUUAACAUUGGUUAUAAGCAAAGGGAGAAGUUCUACACGGAAAAAUGUGAAGGUGGAAAUUAUCAGGAGUGGCUGUGAAAUCACCAUUCAAACAGAGCCCACCUCUGUGCUAGUUAAUCCACAGGAAGAGGUCAUCAUUCCUGGAUAUGUCACGGGACCCUCAGACUUAAACGUACAAUGGCAGAGUGUUGAAGAACCUGGCUCUCAGAGUGUUGAGAUGAUGCCAUACUUGGAUUCUGGUCAGCCCGUUAGGUAUGAGGAUCCAAGUGAAGGUCGGCAGCACUUUCUACGGCUCCCCAAGCCUCAGCCAGGGCUGUUUGCAGGCCUCAUGGCAGGCGAAACAUACAAAUUUCGCAUCCAGGCAUGGACAAAUGAUAAUGAUAAAGUCUUUAAUGAUGUGAUCCUCAAGACCCCUCAGUCUCAUGUCGAGGGAAAAGUAAUGCUUCAGGUAUCCCCAUUACAAGGAAAUGGCAUCUUGGACAACUUCACAUUCACCAUGAAGAAUUCAAUGGGUUCCAUGAGAGAGCAGCCUUUCUCUGUGUACUUCGGUUACCGUUUUCAAGACUCCCAAGACGUAUGGUUCACCCCAACCACAAGUGAUGAGCCAACGGCUAUAUAUCAGCUCCCAGCACGUUCCAACCAGGAGAAAGUGAUACCAGUUGUGAAAGUCUGUGAUGCCUAUGGAAUCUGUCAGAAAGACGAGGGUGACUCCUUAACUCUCAACCUUCCAUCACAACUACCCUCAACUUUUCUUGUAAAUAUUGCUGGUAGUUUUGUAGAUGACAUGAAGUGUGAUGAUUGUCUGAAGUCAGCACUAAAACAGAUAACAGACAAGCUGGCAACCAUUGUUGCUAUGAACUACAGCUCAGCGGCUGCAACACUCAAUCAGGUAGUGGAAAAUACCAUUAUCUCAGAACUACCAAACAUCAUGGCCAGGAUGCAGAACAAUCCAAGUUUGUCUCUGGAUGUACUUGAUGGUCUAUUAGGAUUUGUGCAAAAGUUUGGUGCCAGUCCAGAACUGAAGCAACUCUGGGGAACUCUGGCCUGGGAGAGUUUUUCCAACAAAUUUGGAUUACCUCCUCCAGUUAUCAGUUAUUCAUCACCAGAUACCAGGAAAGAUGAAAUGAGUGAAGAAGUUAUAUACUUUCCUAAAACAAUGGAUGAUUUGGAAAAUGCAAGAAAUGGAUAUAAACCAAAUGCUGCAGGUUUAAGCUCAACUGAUGUCAAUGAGCCAUCAUUACAGAGAAGGACCAAAAGACAAACUCAUUCCACCAGGGAAAACCUAGAUGUGUCAAAACCUGAACCCAUGACAGUAGGAGAGACAAGAGUAUAUUUGAAAACAUUUGAGACUUUGGUGAAUGAAGCCACUUCAGACACAGUUCAAAAUCACUUGAAGAAUCUGCUGAACAGCCUGCCUCUCAUGUUGUCUGACUUAUGUCGCCUGACAACAAGUGCACCAAAACAAGUGGUUGGAGACUUGAUGAGCUUCACUGUGACAAAUUCAGAUCUCAAAAACGAAGCAGACAGUAAAUUCUUUUUUGAAGAAAAAUAUACCAGCAGAGCUGACCUUGUAGAGAAGAACAGUUUUGUGGUAUUUGGGGAUGUCUUACUUGAUUAUGAGCAGUGGCCAUGUAAGGAAAGUAGUACAUCAGAGACUUCUAUGUGUUAUGGGGCUUGUCUGUCAACUGUUCUUUUGCAAGAUGACUUUUGGUCAGUGGUAACUGGUGCCAGGACACCUGGUUCCCUCAGAACUUCAGUAGCAGGUGCAUUCCUGCUUAAUCCUGAGACAGGUGUGAAGGUUCCAGUGACUUCCAAUGACAGGAUCACAUACAACAUAAAGAUAAAUAAUAGCACAAAACCUAGUGGUUACAGAAUUGAGUGUUAUGGUUGGAAUGAGCAAGAGUGGGAUGACACUAUUUGCAACACUGGCACAACAGAGGUAUAUGAUGACCUCAAGAAAAUGGUGUGUCACUGCAAGAAGACAGUUUAUGUUGCUGGAUUUCUGGUGAAGUUUUCAGUAACUCCAAAGAUUACUGCUCCUAGUAUUGAGGAAGAACCAGCAGAUCAAACCACUGAUUUUGCUCCACCUCCAAAUUUCCUGCUACAGGAUAAAAAGCAUGUCACCAUUAUCAUAUUUGGUAACUAUGAUGAAGUGGUUGGAAAUAAUAAAACUAAACUGGAAGAAAUGUGGGCAGAAGAGUUUGCCAUAACAUUAGGCAUUCCAGUAACAUCAAUCUACAAUCUAACUAUUUCUAGAGGCAGUAUUCAGGUCGACUUUGAUAUCCUACCGACAUACACUCGUACAUCUAGUCAGACAGCACAUGAAGUCUUUGGCAACCUAUAUGAGCUGGUAAAGACUGGAACAAUAACCUUAACUGGAUUAUCCAAUGAACAGUUACCAGUGUUGCCUCAGGCCCUUGAUGGCAGUAUCCCACCUGUUGAAGAAAAGAAAGACCCUACCAGGCUUCCACUAAUUAUUGGGGCUGUGGUUGGAUCCAUAGUCUUGAUUGUCAUUGUAUUCAUCUGUUUUGCCAUCUACUUCAAGAACAAAAAGAAGAUGGACAAAAUUCAGCCCCUUCAGAUGGGAGAGACUAAGCAGCCAACAUACAGCUCCAUCCACUUUGAGCAAAUGCUGGAUGGCACCAUUGCUUCUCUAGCCAAGCACCGAAAUGCAAGCAAUCGCAGCCUCUCCUCAGGGGGCUCCUAUGCUGAUGAGGGCAUUUACAUAGAGAGACGCUCAACACCCAGUUCCCGAGGCGGGUCCGGCACCCAGUCGAGUGGAAAACUAAGUCAUGACUCAGGCUUAGAAGAGGUGCCUGAGGCCUUCCUCUACCAGAGCCCCAGCAAGGAGCAGCUUGAGAGCUCAGGGCCCAUACCAGAACACAUUUUUCAGAAGAUUGAAAAGAGUGCACAUGGCUUCCUCCCUGGGUCACCUGAGGAGCCAGUCACAACUCACCAUAAGUGGUGACUCUUAAAACAUUAGCAGAGAUCCAGAUUCACCAGGACAUCUUAAAAGUGUGACCUGUUAAAGUUGAAGAAGAUCCAGAUGGAGAGGGAGGCUCUGCCAGGAACCCCAGGGGACAUGGCUUAAAUGUGGUCGACACUCAAUCCUGACUUCAUUUCCUGCUCUGUCAGUAACCAGCUAUUGAUAAUACGUAGAGACCAUCAAACCUUCACGUAACACAUGUAAAGAUAACUGCAAUUACAUGUCUACAAAGAUUUAAUACCCAGAUUCCACUUGCCCAACAUCCACAUGACCUCUGCGUGUCAUGAAACACACAAGAUAUUGAUCCAGACCCCAAAAGGAAGCAGAUGUCACCAUUACUGGGGACCAAACCUAUGACCAACAGAAGGAAGCCACUUCUCUAAUCAUUCGGCCAAGGAGUCACCCCACUCGCUAAAUGGGUUUGGGGGAUUUUCACAUCAGGCGGGUCACUACAUGGUUCCCUUUCCUAUCUAUAUUAAUUUCUGUAUGUUUCCUACUGAAACUUCCAUUUUCUAUGUACUACUCCAUAGAGAGUAUAGGCCAUCCAUCUCCUGUUUCCCAACACUGGGGAGACACAGGAGAGGAUUCCACCAAUUUACUCACCUCUUGUAUUGCCAAAUAUCACUUUUCCAUACAUCCAUGUGAUUUCUGUGUGUUAUGAAACACGUGAGAAAUUGAGAAAGAGAGAAAUAAAUGUUUCCAAUGCCCUACGACUUGAUCAGCCAGAUGGGAAGCCACUUCUCUAACCAGUCUGUCGAAGAGGUACCCCUCUCACUAAGUGGGUUUGGGGGGCUUUCCGCAUUAGUCGGGUCACUACAGAGUGUAGGAAGAUCAGAAUUAUUACAGCCAAGGAUACUAACACUUGUGAUACCAGGAAAUUAGCAUGUUGACUUUGUGGUUGUCAACUUAAAUACAGUAUUACAACUAUCAAAAUUGUAGUUAUUGACAUUUCUAACCUUUCUUUCCAUGCCUUGAAUCGGCAGGUUUGAUAAUUCCUUAAUCAGUUCUUACCUUGUGAACUUUUACAUGACAUUUUUUUAGACAAAUUUGAUAUAUCCUUAAUUUUUCUUUAGCUUAGCUGACUGAUUUUAUUAUAAUGUUC